UAUGCAGAACGUCUCCGAGCCGCGGCCGUCUAAAGGGAAACUCCCCAGGGCGCCGCAGCCGUCGGGUGCUGCCGGAAACGGCACCGCCUCCCUUUUGGAAAGGAGAAGCACCGCCGCAUGA
rnacentral:ncRNA from 2 species